rnacentral:rRNA from 1 species
AACGAACGCUGGCGGCAGGCCUAACACAUGCAAGUCGAGCGGACCCUUCGGGGUUAGCGGCGGACGGGUGAGUAACGCGUGGGAACGUGCACUUUGCUUCGGAAUAGCCCUGGGAAACUGGGAGUAAUACCGGAUACGCCCUUUUGGGGAAAGAUUUAUCGGCGAAGGUUCGGCCCGCGUUGGAUUAGGUAGUUGGUGGGGUAAUGGCCUACCAAGCCGACGAACCAUAGCUGGUUUGAGAGGAUGAUCAGCCACACUGGGACUGAGACACUGCCCAGACUCCUACGGUAGGCAGCAGUGGGGAAUCUUAGACAAUGGGUGAAACCCUGAUCUAGCCAUGCCGCGUGAGCUAUGAAGGCCUUAGGGUUGUAAAGCUCUUUGACCGGGGAAGAUAAUGACGGUACCCGGAGAAGAAGCCCCGGCUAACUCCGUG